CCUACGGGUGGCAGCAGUGGGGGAUAUUGCACAAUGGGGGAAACCCUGAUGCAGCGACGCCGCGUGUGGGAAGACGGUCUUCUGGAUUGUAAACCACUGUCCCCAGGGACGAAAAUGACGGUACCUGGGGAGGAAGCUCCGGCUAACUACGUGCCAGCAGCCGCGGUAAUACGUAGGGAGCAAGCGUUGUCCGGAAUUACUGGGUGUAAAGGGAGCGUAGGCGGGGAUGCAAGUUGGGUGUCAAAACUACCGGCUCAACCGAUAGUCGCACUCAAAACUGCAACUCUUGAGUGAAGUAGAGGCAGGCGGAAUUCCUGGUGUAGCGGUGAAAUGCGUAGAUAUUAGGAGGAACACCAGUGGCGAAGGCGGCCUGCUGGGCUUUUACUGACGCUGAGGCUCGAAAGUGUGGGGAGCAAACAGGAUUAGAUACCCUUGUAGUC
rnacentral:rRNA from 1 species